CAACCCUCAAGCCUAGCUUGGUGUUGGGGCAUUACCUGUACUGUUUCACAGAAGGGUAAGCCCUGAAAUUUAGUGGCGAGCUCGCCAGGACUCCGAGCGUAGUAGUAAAACCCUCGCUUAGGAUCGUACUGGCGCGGCCCUGCCGUAAAACCCCCAACUUCUGAAA
rnacentral:misc_RNA from 1 species